GCUUCACUUUGUUGCCCAGGCUGGUCUCCAACUCCUGGCCUCUGGCGAUCCUCCUGCCUCAGCCUCCCAAAGUGCUGGGAUGACAGGCAUGAGCCCUCACACCUGCCCUAACAUUUUGAUGGAUGAAGCCAAAUUGCCCUUCCAGAAGCUUCUGCUUGUGCCCAGGCACAUUGACAUGAGGGCCUCGAAUCCUGCCUGAGCUCCAUGAAGUCUGCAGUGACUUGAGUUGGCGUGAGUGGAAACCUCUGCCUCCACAGUGAAAUGUCACUGACUACUGGAAAUUAGGCGAAUGCAUUAGUGCACAGCAGAGGUGGCACGGGGAGCGGUCAAUGUGUGUCAGUCUCCCCCGGCGGAUGGUGGCGAGCUGAGAUGAGGUUGUGUCUGCCUUUCGGAGGUGGGGGAGAGCUUGGCCGAUGAAGAGGGGUGGGGGUGGCGUGGUACGGGAGCUUGGUUGAGUAGAAGGAAUGGGUGAGGGGGAGGUGGACCAGGAGGAUUCCUGAUACAAUAUAAAGACCCAGCUACUGGAGCAGGGGCGCAUUUGCUGAC